UUUUAAUAUAUUUACCACUAUUUUAAAAUUGAUUAUAUAAAAAGAUGAUCCCGUCGCGAAAUAUAUAUGGUACAUUAAUACCAAAUGAACUAGACGAAGAAGCGAAUGUGGACCCUGCUGAUCUGGAAAAUCAUUAUACGUUUUGCACGUAUGCAACGACUCAGCGAGUUUUAUUAUGUGCAUCGUCAACGAAAAAAGUCGCAUUCCUAUAUGAACUGUUCGUCAUAAUAGAGAGACACAAGUUUAUACGAAUGAUAUUUAAUAUCUUAGAGAAACACUUUUUGGGGAAGCUGUAUAACUAUUUAAAAACAAUGGAUUACUCGGAUAAUAUUAACGAUGCACAAUUUAAAGAUAACGAUCGUUCAAUUGAUCCCGACGAACUUGAUGCAUGUUUUGAAUCAUCUUUGUACUGGUUUAAAUAUUUGCAUAACAUUGAUCUAAAAUUGGCAAUAUUUUUAUCAUAUUUAUCAAUUUGUGGAAAUAGUGUAAUCCGAAAAGUAAUAAUUCGUGUGAAAAAGUUUUACGAAAAAGAAGGAAAUUAUUUUCGACACUCAAGACUAUCAACACAUUUUUCAUUCCAACUUCAACCUUCAGCACGAUAUUAUGCUUAUAAUGAAGAAUUGGAUGAUAGCGAUCCCGAUGUACAAUUGAUUUACAAGAAAAGAAAAGAAUGGGACGAAAUGAUUACCAAAUAUCGUAAAAACGUUGAGUUUUCUAUAUAUGGGUGUGCAUCUGACCCAAAAUUUAAAGAAGAGAAUGCGAAACAAGGCGAAAAUGGCAAAACUAGAACAGAUAAAAGUAAAAAUAAGAAAGACACUACUCUUAAAGAAGGAAAAGGCAAGAAAAUU